UACGGAGGGGGCUAGCGUUGUUCGGAAUUACUGGGCGUAAAGCGCACGUAGGCGGCUCUUCAAGUCAGAGGUGAAAGCCCAGGGCUUAACCCUGGAAUUGCCUUUGAAACUAGAGAGCUUGAACAUCGGAGAGGCAGGUGGAAUUCCGAGUGUAGAGGUGAAAUUCGUAGAUAUUCGGAAGAACACCAGUGGCGAAGGCGACCUGCUGGACGAUUGUUGACGCUGAGGUGCGAAAGCGUGGGGAGCAAACAGG
rnacentral:rRNA from 2 species